AUUAAUUGUGAUAAUAAGGAAUGAGGGGGUGGAGAGGGAGAACACUUCUUUGUGGAUGGGGUGGUGCGACAUUAUGUUAGAAGAACGGAGAAAGUGUGAGAUUAAAUAGGUUAUAGAAAAAAAAAAUUAGGCAUUUAGAAAAUUUUGGAGGUGCAUGAAGAAAACUUAGAGAUGAAAAAAGAAAGCCCCGUAUUGCAAUGUAAGAUAGAGGCCCAGCUCGUUAACAUCUAGGAUCUAACUUACAAACGUGACAGUUUAUUCCUUGAUCCAGCAUAAUAGGGCCUCACAGUUUCUUUCUGUACCUCCUAUAAAAAUA
rnacentral:lncRNA from 1 species